rnacentral:rRNA from 1 species
UACGUAGGCAGCGAGCGUUGUUCGGAGUUACUGGGCGUAAAGGGUGUGUAGGCGGUUGUUUAAGUUUGGUGUGAAAUCUCCCGGCUCAACUGGGAGGGUGCGCCGAAUACUGAAUGACUUGGAGUGCGGGAGAGGUGAGUGGAAUUCCCAGUGUAGCGGUGAAAUGCGUAGAUAUUGGGAGGAACACCAGUGGCGAAGGCGGCUCACUGGACCGGAACUGACGCUGAGGCGCGAAAGCGUGGGGAGCAAACAGG